AUCGAACGCUGGCGGCAGGCCUAACACAUGCAAGUCGAACGAGUGGCGGACGGGUGAGUAAUGCUUGGGAAACUGCCUGAUGGAGGGGGAUAACUACUGGAAACGGUAGCUAAUACCGCAUACCCUCAGAUGUGCCCAGAUGGGAUUAGCUGGUUGGUUGGGUAACGGCUCACCAAGGCGACGAUCCCUAGCUGGUCGGAGAGGAUGACCGGCCAAACUGGAACUGAGACACGGUCCAGAUUCCUACGGGAGGCAGCAGUGGGGAAUAUUGCACAAUGGGGGCAAGCUUGAUGCAGCCAGGCCGCGUGUAUGAAGAAGUCCUUCGGGUUGUAAAGUACGUUCAGCGGGGAGGCGUUACCCGCAGAAGAAGCACCGGCUAACUCCGUGCCAGCCGCCGCGGUAAUUC
rnacentral:rRNA from 1 species